rnacentral:rRNA from 1 species
AACCUCCGCAAUGUGAGAAAUCGCGACGGGGGGAUCCCAAGUGCCAUUCUUAACGGGAUGGCUUUUCAUUAGUGUAAAGAGCUUUUGGAAUAAGAGCUGGGCAAGACCGGUGCCAGCCGCCGCGGUAACACCGGCAGCUCUAGUGGUAACAAUUUUUAUUGGGCCUAAAGCGUCCGUAGCCGGUUUAAUAAGUCUCUGGUGAAAUCCUGUAGCUUAACUGUGGGAAUUGCUGGAGAUACUAUUAGACUUGAGACCGGGAGAGGUUAGAGGUACUCCCAGGGUAGAGGUGAAAUUCUGUAAUCCUGGGAGGACCGCCUGUUGCGAAGGCGUCUAACUGGAACGGUUCUGACGGUGAGGGACGAAAGUUAGGGGCGCGAACCGGAUUAGAUACCCGGGUAGUCCUAGCCGUAAACGAUGCGGACUUGGUGUUGGGAUGGCUUUGAGCCGCUCCGGUGCCGAAGGGAAGCUGUUAAGUCCGCCGCCUGGGAAGUACGGUCGCAAGACUGAAACUUAAAGGAAUU